CGGCGAACGGGUGAGUAACACGUGAGCAACCUGCCCCGAAGACUGGGAUAACACCGGGAAACCGGUGCUAAUACCGGAUACCCCCACCAGGCCGCAUGACCAGGUGAGGAAACGAAUUUCGCUUCGGGAGGGGCUCGCGGGCUAUCAGCUUGUUGGUGGGGUAACGGCCUACCAAGGCGACGACGGCUAGCUGGUCUGAGAGGACGACCAGCCACACUGGGACUGAGACACGGCCCAG
rnacentral:rRNA from 1 species